GGGGAAUAUUGCACAAUGGGCGAAAGCCUGAUGCAGCGACGCCGCGUGAGGGAUGACGGCCUUCGGGUUGUAAACCUCUUUCAGCUCCGAAGAAGCGAGAGUGACGGUAGGAGCAGAAGAAGCACCGGCUAACUACGUGCCAGCAGCCGCGGUAAUACGUAGGGUGCAAGCGUUGUCCGGAAUUAUUGGGCGUAAAGAGCUCGUAGGCGGUGUGUCGCGUCUGCUGUGAAAACUCAGGGCUCAACUCUGAGCUUGCAGUGGGUACGGGCACACUAGAGUGCUGUAGGGGAGACUGGAAUUCCUGGUGUAGCGGUGAAAUGCGCAGAUAUCAGGAGGAACACCGGUGGCGAAGGCGGGUCUCUGGGCAGUUACUGACGCUGAGGAGCGAAAGCAUGGGGAGCGAAC
rnacentral:rRNA from 1 species